ACCGGGGACUGCGGCUUUCAGU
rnacentral:miRNA from 1 species